UACGUAGGGGGCAAGCGUUGUCCGGAUUUAUUGGGCGUAAAGAGCGUGUAGGCGGCCAUGUAGGUCCGUUGUGAAAACUCGAGGCUCAACCUCGAGACGCCGAUGGAAACCAUGUGGCUAGAGUCCGGAAGAGGAGAGUGGAAUUCCUGGUGUAGCGGUGAAAUGCGCAGAUAUCAGGAGGAACAGCCGGUGGCGAAGGCGGCUUGCUGGGCCAGUUCUGACGCUGAGGAGCGAAAGCGUGGGGAGCGAACAGG
rnacentral:rRNA from 1 species